rnacentral:snoRNA from 1 species
CCUCUUCCCAGAACACUUCCUGGGUCUGAUUGGUGGCAUGGGAAGCUGUCAGUGAAGAGCAGAGCAAUGUCCUAACUUUGUGGGUGAGAAACAGCAGGAUGCCCUGUUGUCUCCAUCAGUGAUGGGACAGAU